rnacentral:rRNA from 1 species
AGAGAGAAAGACAUUUCGGACUAGGAAAAAAACCCGACCCCUCCGUCGCACAGCAGCAGGAGCUGCCCCCACCACCUGCGCGGCCAACGACACCAAGCCCUCACCGAACCCCUCGGCUUUGUUUCCCAUCUCGCCUCGGUCCUCCGCCAAAUCCCCAAAUCGCAGCCCCCGAUCCGCCGCCGUCCCCGAUUCGCCGCCGCCGUUGACCCGCGCAAAUGACCUCCGGCCCGCCGUCGCCUUCCGGCAAGGCUUACUCCCGCAAAUCUCACGGCCCCGGCCCCAAAUCCUCCAAGGCCCGCUCCUUCGACGCUCACAAUGGCCCGCUGAUCCCCACCGUCACCUUCUCGCUCCCCUCGACGCCGGCCACGCGACGAGAGCUGCGGCGCCGCCUCUCCGCGGAGCUCGCACAGGUGCGCGCCGCCUACAAGCGCAUAAGCUCCCUCCCCGCUCCCGCCCCCUCCUCCGCGCUCUCCGCCACUGACCCCUCCACCCCGCUCCCGCCGCACCCCUCCGUCUCCAAGCACAAGUCCAAGAAGGGCCCCCCGAACCCGUCCGGCUCGGCGGAGGCGCGGCGCAAGCUCUACGCUCCCGUCUUCAGGAGCUGCGCCGUGGUGCUUGCGCGGCUGAUGAAGCACAAGCACGGCUGGGUGUUCAACGUGCCGGUCGACGCCAGCGCGCUUGGCCUGCACGACUACCACACCAUCAUCACCAAGCCCAUGGACCUCGGCACCGUCAAGUCAAGGCUGGCCGCCGGGCACUACAAGUCGCCGCGGGAGUUCGCAACUGAAGUCCGUCUGACUUUUCAGAACGCCAUGAGGUACAACCCCAAGGGGCAGGAUGUGUAUUUCAUGGCCGAGCAGCUUCUAAAUAUGUUCGAGGAGAAGUGGCCAGAGAUUGAAGCUGAGAUGGCACAGCUGUCACCGCAGCCACCUACACCAUCAUCUGCCCCGCCCAAGAAGCAGAAGCAGAGGGAGAGGGAGAGAGAGAGGGAGAUGGAUAGUGCUAGAGUACUAGAGAGGUCUGACUCCACAGCGCAUGCUGCAGCAUUGGAGGCUCCCCCGAAGCCGCACGCUGGUACCGCCAGACCCCCAGUUUUAAAGAAGCCAAAGGCAAGGGAUCCUAAUAAGAGGGAGAUGACGUUCUGGGAGAAGCAGCGGCUUAGUAACGACCUCCAGGACUUGCCAGCCGAGAAGCUCGAUAAUGUUGUACAGAUCAUAAAGAAGAGGAACUCAUCACUUAAUCAGCAUGACGAUGAGAUUGAGGUUGAUAUAGAUAGCUUUGAUGUUGAGACAUUAUGGGAGCUUGAUAGGUUUGUGACAAACUACAAGAAAAGUAUAACCAAGAAUAAGCGGAAGGCCGAGCUUUCCGUAGCAAGGCAGGAUGAGUCCGACCAUGAGCCGGAUUUGGAGAAGAUUGAGCAUGCCAGGCAUGAUGAGGGAGAGCAGGAUCAGAUGCGCACAGUACAUAAUACGAUCCCAGAACCAGAAGCAAUUGAUGUAGUUGAUGUGGUUGAUGUUGAACCGCCUAUGGUUGAAGCUGAACCACAUAAGGAAAUUGCAGCAGAUGACAAUGGGAGAUAUAUGGGUUCAUCAUCACCUGCUCAUUUAGAAGAUCAGAAAGGAGACAAUGUCGGUAGAUCAAGUAGUUCUGGAAGCUCUAGCAGCGAAUCAGGGUCUUCCUCCAGUGAUACGGAUUCUGAUAGUUCAUCAGCAGAUGGCUCUGAUGCCGCACAGUCACCCAAAUCGUAACAUCUAUAGGCCAGAUCUUAACGUCAGACAGAAGAUGAUAACCUGUCUUUUUAGCCUCAUAGUGGAUGCCGGAGAUCACGCAUGCAUUUCAUGCGUCUGUACCAUUAUUUGCAGUUAUGUACCUAUUGUAGAGUGCUGCGUUUACUUAGUCAUUCGCUGGAAGUUAUCUGACAAUUGGAUAGAAGACACCUGCAAAUUGGGCAAGUAAAGACAGCCGGUGAAGACCAGGAACCUGGAGACCUCGCCCUGUUGUAAGAUUGUAAAAUUGUUAUAGUUGGUUAAUUUCUUUUGUUUUAUUUUGGAACUAGCUAGUCUGUAAUUUAUGUUGGGUCGGAAUAGGGCGGAUAAUUCAUCUUUCCCAUUGCUCUGAUUGUUCUAAAGAUCUCUACACGCUCGUUUGAGCUGUAACAUUAAACAUUUUUUACCUCAAUAAUGGAGGCAAUCUGGAGGUUCACUUGGC